rnacentral:rRNA from 1 species
ACGAACGCUGGCGGCAGGCUUAACACAUGCAAGUCGAACGCGCCCUUCGGGGCGAGUGGCAGACGGGUGAGUAACGCGUGGGAACCUACCUUUUGGUACGGAAUAACUCAGGGAAACUUGAGCUAAUACCGUAUGUGCCCUGUCCUUUAACGGGAUUUGGGGAAAGAUUUAUCGCCAAAGGAUGGGCCCGCGUCGGAUUAGCUAGUUGGUGGGGUAACGGCCUACCAAGGCGACGAUCCGUAGCUGGUCUGAGAGGAUGAUCAGCCACACUGGGACUGAGACACGGCCCAGACUCCUACGGGAGGCAGCAGUGGGGAAUAUUGGACAAUGGGGGCAACCCUGAUCCAGCCAUGCCGCGUGAGUGAAGAAGGCCUUAGGGUUGUAAAGCUCUUUCGCCGGUGAAGAUAAUGACGGUAACCGGAGAAGAAGCCCCGGCUAACUUCGU